rnacentral:rRNA from 1 species
AAUCAACGCUGGCGGCGUGCCUAAUACAUGCAAGUCGAACGCGAAAGUCCCGCAAGGGGCAAGUAGAGUGGCAAACGGGUGAGUAACGCGUGGGCGACCUACCUUCGAGUGGGGGAUAACCUUCCGAAAGGAGGGCUAAUACCGCAUGACAGCCUCUGUUUAGAUACAGGGAGCUCAAAGCCGGGGAUCGCAAGACCUGGCGCUUGGAGACGGGCCCGCGUCCGAUUAGCUAGUUGGUGGGGUAACGGCUCACCAAGGCAACGAUCGGUA